CGGAGGAUCCGAGCGUUUAUCCGGAGUGACUGGGCGUAAAGAGUUGCGUAGGCGGUUAAUUAAGCAGAUAGUGAAACCUUGUGGCUCAACCAUAAGACUAUUAUCUGAACUGAUUAACUUGAGAAUGAGAGAGGUAAUUGGAAUUCCCAGUGUAGCGGUGAAAUGCGUAGAUAUUGGGAAGAACACCAAUGGCGUAGGCAGAUUACUGGCUCAUUUCUGACGCUAAGGCACGAAAGCGUGGGGAGCGAACCGGAUUAGAUACCCGGGUAGUCCACGCCGUAAACUAUGGAUGCUAGCUGUUGGGCGCUCGACCCGUUCAGUAGCGAAGCUAACGCGUUAAGCAUCCCGCCUGGGGAGUACGGUCGCAAGAUUA
rnacentral:rRNA from 1 species